CUGUCUCUUCUACCCUUGCCUUCUUCGCCGAUCCGAAAGUUGCAGCGCCUUCCCUCUUGUGGGCUUUGAGACUCUUGGCUAACAUCCGAGCUGUGUCCGCACCCAUAUCUGCAAUGAAGGAGGAUUGGCACAGUCUAGAAACAGAGCCGCAAAAAUAGAGAAAGUUCUUGAGCUAACCUAGGCUGGUCUGAGGGAUGCAGAGAGGC
rnacentral:lncRNA from 1 species